CAGCUUCACUUCAAUCAAUUAAACCCAAUCCUUUUCCUGCACCAAAAACAAUUGGUCUAUAGACCAAAUAAAAAGAAAAUGGAGAAUAAAAACAGUAGAAGCUUUACUUAAUUUGAACUUUCAUGCGUCCCAUUAUUUUAUCUUAUCUCUCUGCGAUUUACAUUAGAAAAAUGUGGCUCAAAAAAGCUAAGGAAUCACUUAGCCAAUGUUUG
rnacentral:misc_RNA from 1 species